UGUUGAGUCGUGGAUUUGAAACAGAAAUUAAGGCCAGUGCUAAAGGCACAGCCCGUCGGAGUGUAGGCUCCCCGUACCUGAGCUGGUGGCCAAAGGUUCGUAGUGCCAUCUCUGCACCAAUCUCCUCCCCCAUAGCAAUGAGGGCAAUCCCCAGCACAGCCACUCCCUGCAAUUGAAGAGGAGCAGAACCCAGUGAGCUCAGGGA